GAAUAAUCUGAAACAGAGAAACAAAGAAACAUACAAAAUAUCUCAAAAACACCAUAGUAUUACAUACUGAAUUGAAUGUUUUGAAAUACUAUUUACAACCUUGUACUAAUUCGUUAUGAAUUAGAAGAUUUGGAUUAGUGUUGUAGGGAUGGUAUGCAUGUUGAUGAUACUAAUUCUUAAUGCCAAUGGCUCCAACCAUGACUGGUGUAGAUGUGUCUAAGGAUAAGAUUAAUAAUUUCCUGAAGACCGUUCCAGUGAACUUUAGAGAGACAUAAGAUGGGGUUACUAUAUAUGCACUUCCAGACACUCAUGCAAGCCAGGCAUUGUUUUAGUUCAGAAUGGUCUUCACUCUUUGAUAUCACAGCUUACGUGUCAGUAGUGGUAUGGUUCUAGUGGUACAACCUAAAUACCUUAUUUACAAAUAUUGCUUCAACACAUUACCUCUUCUGAUACUGCCUUGCACCUACAAUAGUAUUUUGUUUGCCUGGGAAGACUGAAUCCUGUCUAAUUCUUAUUGCUUGAUGAACACAUGGAAUCUCCUUCCUUUGAGACAACAAAAACUUGACCAUGCAAGGUCCUGUGCAACGUGACCUACAUUGGGCCUGAUUUUAUCAGGGGAUUUGGAUCAAAUGAUCUCCAAAGAUUUCCUCCAACCUAAACUAUUCAACAAUUUUUUUUUCCAGCUGUAAGAACUUUGUUUUAAUAUAAUAUAAAGUAAUGUAUACAUGUAGUUUCCUAAGGCUUUUUCAAAGGUAUAUGAAAACAGAUCAAAUUCACUUCAGCUAGAAGUUCAAAAGCUGGUGUCGGAGGCUGUUUGUUCUUCUUCAGAACUUACCUACAGAAGAUGGAAACAAACAAUCUAAACAUGUACAGCUACUGUGUAGUAUGUUAUAACACUUGGAUAGGCACGUCAUAGGCCUAGGUCAUAGGCCUUAUGGUGAAAUGAUAAAAACUAGAGUUGUCCUAUUAUCAACAUAGAAUCUAACCCAAUGAUAAUAGGUGGCAAAUAUAUAACGAAAUAACACCAUCAACUAGGAGAAGAAACAAAAUAGACUGAUUGAUGUGAAAUUCACAUUCUCACAGGGCAACUUCACAGCUACAGUCAGAAAGGCUUGAGAGAGCCUGGGCAGCACACACAUGCUGAUGAAAUAGCCAGGAUGUAGCAGCCAGCUCUCCUGAAGGAAACAGCUGAGAAUAGGGAGCUGUUAUAUAGCUUAAAACAUAGUUAAUUCGAAAGAAUUUUAUUGAAAAUUCUUCCAAGCGUCUUCUGAACCUGAAAAACAUUUUCCAGAUAAGUGUAUAGUUCCAGGUAUAACCCACAUAAGUUUCAGGACUCUAAACAUCCAUGAGCAGAAAAACUAGUAACAGAAAUUGUUAGGCAGCCUGUAGGCAGGGCUCCCUUCUGCUGCAUGUGUACAAGCUUCUUCUGCAGAGAUAAGACAGGCUGCAGUUAGCUAGUAAAAUCAGCAGUGAGCUCCCUGUGCCAUAUAGGCAACAUACCACCAUCUUCAUCUUCGAUACACCACUACCCGCAGAUAUAUCUUUCAUAUUUGCACACUCUUCAUGACUGUUAGUAUGUCAGUACAAAGAGCUUAAGCCAAGCAUUUCUGAGAUCUUUAGGAGAAGGUAUUGUCAUGACGACAUAAUUUUUAAUAGCAUUUGUUGACACUAACCUGACAAUCUGUAGGUUCCCCAGAGUCCUGCUGCACUGGCCAUGGAGACCAGGUGUCCAUGAUUGCAGGCGAUCAUGGCAGGAAGAAAGGCCUUGCAAGUCUGAGAGACAUAUAAAAAAUACAAUUACAGAUAGAUGUGUCAAAAAUACUGCAUUCCAAAUUAGAUUUUACAAUUUGAUUUACUUUCUGGAACAUAAUCCUACAAGGAACCAAAGUGAUCUGCAGUCUCCGUAAGAAUUUAUAAAGGAGAGGCAACAUUUCUUUGAAUGACAGGUCCCCAGCUGAAGAUCUGUCAGCAUUAAAACUAUAUUAUUAAAAACGAUGAACUUUCUGUUUUCUCUGCGUGCAGGUUCCUCACAGUCCGAGUAGUCUGACUAUUAGUAAAGAUUUGGUACACAAGAGGGAGCUAGAAGCCAACACAUCAAUGUGGACUUCAGCCGGCUACAGGCCCUGCUUGUUGUAAACUACUUCCCGGCAACUCUGGGCCUCAAACUGCCGAGAUCGUUACUACUAAUUAUCCAAGGAGGACACUAGUGUUUUACAAGACAGAAGAGAUGAAAAAUAUAGGAGUAGUUACAGAUUUUUUUCAAUUGCUGAGUUGUAUUCCACUCCAGAUAUGCACCUGGUACGCGCUUUUCUGAUGGUGGGGCCCACAGUCACUGUCCUCCCGCUCUGUGUCACUUCAGACCUGCCAAGAAGAACAUUUCCCCACCCAACACCUUUGUCUCUGGUGCCUGCAGGAACAAAACUCAAGCUGAUUAUUCUUCUCUAUGUAUUUAUUCAGGUAUCUAUUCUUAUUUAUAUGUUUUUAAAAUUAUCAUUAUCAUUUCUAUCAAUUUUCUGUAUGACAGGUUUGUAGUUUCUUGGUGUCCUCUCACUUAAAUUGGCAUAUUUGCUAUUUUUGCUCUUGGAUUUGAAACCUGUCAUAAGCAAUACAUCACCUACACAUUUGUAGCUCAUGAAAUGUAUAUCAGAUAUCCCUCAGAGUUCCUAGGUGGACACUUCUGACUCAAAAUCUGCUAAUAUUUUCUUCAUCAGUUUGUUCUAAGAUCUCAUCCUUCAGUACACUGAUUUCCUUGCUAGAAAUAAAGAUUCCAUUCUGGGAACAUAUCUAAGCUAUUCUGCAGUGAAUAUAUCAAACAAAAUGAAAUAACUUCACUUUUCUGCUACUGGCUUAUCUCCUGUGUCCAAGCUGAAGACUUUUCAUAUUACUAAUAAAAAGUUACAUGUAUUUCCAAUGGUAGAGGAUGCUCCUGGCUGAAUAGAUCUUAAAGAAAAUAAAAUUCUGGCCCCUAUAUGACUGUUCAAUUCAUGAAAAUACCUGAAAAGACAUUGGUAGAAUUAACAAUAGUUUAACAACUUAACACCAAUUCAGGAAUCUGAAAGAGCUCUUUGAGUUUCUACUUGCAGGUCAGCCUGUACACGUCAGAGUUCUUGCUGCUAAUAUGGGCUCAACUAGUUCUGCAGGGUGAGCCCUGGUUAAUGUGUCUGGAGACUGAGAAUUAUCUGAGUGCACAAAGCAGUUUGAGUCUCUGUUAAACUGAGAACAGAGAUCACUUAUUUCAAAAUAUGCACCAUCAAUGGAAAAUUCCAACUUUAUUAAGAUAUUACUUACACGAUCUCAAACUGAUCAUUCUGAUGCAUGUCUUUCCAGGAAGCAGUCAGCAUUUGUGGGAACAGGGAAUUAAAGCCAAUUUAAAAUGUUAUUUUUUAAGAGAUAUUUGGUCUUGGUGAAUUCUUAAGUGUUUUCCUUUUUUUUUUUUCCUCUUUUUUUUUCUUGCAAGAAGAGCAUUCUGGAAGAAUGGCAGUUUGAUUUGUACUAUCAUUGUGAAUAAGAAUCAAGUAUCACAUUUGAAGUGCUGAUCACAAGUUGCUCAACUGAUCCUGCAACUUGAUGGGAGAUGAUAACAUACUAAGAUCUCGAUAUUAAGAAUGUUGAAAUAACUGGAAUUCUUUUUAUGGACUGCAGUUGUAGGAGUAAUAAUAAGAGACAUACACAGUGAGUACAACAUGACCUGUAAUACUCAAAUAAUUAGCAAAGAUCUUCUUCCUUGAGCACUGUGGGUCAGCGCAGGCCAGAAUGUGCUCAUCUCUGCAGAUGUGUUAUUAUGAUAGAUACAUCCUUGAUCACACUGUGCAAGUAAUAUUAUGAAACCACUUGUGGUUCUUAAGCUCUAUCACCAACAGCUCCAACAGAAAUUAUUUUUCCAUGCAAAGCUGGCUGGAUGUGCCCCCAAGUGCUGCUAGCAAGUACAAGUAAAAGAAUACUUUGAGCAUGAGAACUGCAGUUCCAGAUACAUACAGGGCAGGGGAAGGGAGUGACCAUGAAGGAAUGGUGGAAACAAAGCAUAAGGGACUGACCACAGCUCACAUUCCCUCUUCCCCUGUGCUGCUCAGGGGGGGAGAUAGAAGACGUUUAAUGGGGUAAGGUGUUUGUAUUUUGUUACAAAGGGACCUUCCCCCUUACAAUGUUCCAUUGCUUUUUUUUUUUCUUAAUAUCUUACAGAAAUUUAUAAGCCUAGAAAAUUCAUUCAUAAGGUUAAUCUCUGCCAUAUACCACACUUCUAAUGUAAAAGAAGUUGCCCUCUCACAAGGAAUACUGGAGAUGUGUAAGUCUCAACAGAACAAAUUAAACCCAGUUACUUUACAAAAGAAAUAGUUUAAGCUCCAUCUAGAAGUUACUUGUCAAUAAGAGAACAGUCAUCACCGUACACGAUUACUUCCCUUUACUGAAUGCAUAAUUUCUAAGAUUCCAGGUCUAAAAAAAGCCGAAAAUCACAAGCAAGAAGGAAAAUUAGAAACCAGAAGCUGUAACUUACCUUCUCUGCCUGUUCAUAGACCUCCUCCCUAUUGCUGCAGUCACAGUAGUAGGCAAACACUUGUUUAGCUCCAUUUUCUCUGGCUAAUCUCACUGUUUCUCUGUUCCCUUCUUCAUCAAUGUCCCAGAGAACCAAGGUUGCUUCCAAAGGAGCAAAAUGUA